GCACCCGCCCCCCCUCUUCCUAUUUUCUUUUCUCUUCUAUUCUUCUUCUCCCUUUCUUCUUACUUCUUCAUUUCUUCUUCAUUCUUCUGCCGAGCGACCCACAGAGACGGCAAUAGAGAGAGUGAGAGAAAUCGAGUGAGAGAGAGAUGCGAGAGAGAGAGAGAGAGAGAUAAGGGAUUGAGAGGGAGACCCGUGAGAUUUCCGUGGAAACCCGUCGAACCCGCCAGACCCGGGAGUGAAACCCGUGACCCGUGUGUGCAACCCGACGAAUUCGGGAGAACCCGUGUGACCCGAUCCUUCGGUGGUGAAGUCCGGCGCGAUUUACGGCGGCUCCAGUGGAUUUCCGGCGAAGACCCGUAACCCAGAACCCCUUAGACCUGUGACCCAUGACCCGCUGAACCGUGUGGAAGACCCGGUCCUCCAGGAGCGAUUUUCCGGCGGUCCAAUAGCGAUUUCCGGUGGAUUUUCUAGGAAAAUCCUCUAGGAUCGUGUUAUAAUUGGAGACUUCAAUGGGUUCUCCAAUGUAGAGUUCGAGUUGGAGUCCAAUGCAGCCGAGAUGAUGUUUCUUUGGCUGCAGGUACUUCGGUAUGGUCGAUGGGUCUGUAGCAGUGUGCUUGGGAUAUUAUGACUGAAGCUCGCCGCGACAGUUGUAAUUGUCGGACCACAGGUUGUCCACUAUUUUAUAGGUUUGGUAUGGCUUGUGACGUUUGUGUCACUUAUUCUUUGUUAAGCCAUUAUUGUUAUAGUGUUAAUAAGACUCAAACAGAUAGAUGUUAAAUGGCUCUUUGUUGUAAUUAACUUGUGAUAGAUGUAUAAGUUGUAAUUUCCGCUAUUCAGAUUUAUGUUUUCCGCUGCAUAGAUAGAUGUAUGUUAUACUCUGAUUAUCAGGUACAUGUUAUGGGGCAUGUGCCAUAUGUUGGCUGAGCGACA